AGAGUUUGAUCCUGGCUCAGGAUGAACGCUAGCUACAGGCUUAACACAUGCAAGUCGAGGGGAAACGACAUCGAAAGCUUGCUUUUGAUGGGCGUCGACCGGCGCACGGGUGAGUAACGCGUAUCCAACCUGCCCACCACUUGGGGAUAACCUUGCGAAAGUAAGACUAAUACCCAAUGACGUCUCUAGAAGACAUCUGAAAGGGAUUAAAGAUUUAUCGGUGAUGGAUGGGGAUGCGUCUGAUUAGCUUGUUGGCGGGGUAACGGCCCACCAAGGCAACGAUCAGUAGGGGUUCUGAGAGGAAGGUCCCCCACAUUGGAACUGAGACACGGUCCAAACUCCUACGGGAGGCAGCAGUGAGGAAUAUUGGUCAAUGGGCGAGAGCCUGAACCAGCCAAGUAGCGUGCAGGAUGACGGCCCUAUGGGUUGUAAACUGCUUUUAUAAGGGAAUAAAGUGAGUCUCGUGAGACUUUUUGCAUGUACCUUAUGAAUAAGGACCGGCUAAUUCCGUGCCAGCAGCCGCGGUAAUACGGAAGGUCCGGGCGUUAUCCGGAUUUAUUGGGUUUAAAGGGAGCGUAGGCCGGAGAUUAAGCGUGUUGUGAAAUGUAGACGCUCAACGUCUGCACUGCAGCGCGAACUGGUUUCCUUGAGUACGCACAAAGUGGGCGGAAUUCGUGGUGUAGCGGUGAAAUGCUUAGAUAUCACGAAGAACUCCGAUUGCGAAGGCAGCUCACUGGAGCGCAACUGACGCUGAAGCUCGAAAGUGCGGGUAUCGAACAGGAUUAGAUACCCUGGUAGUCCGCACGGUAAACGAUGGAUGCCCGCUGUUGGUCUGAAUAGGUCAGCGGCCAAGCGAAAGCAUUAAGCAUCCCACCUGGGGAGUACGCCGGCAACGGUGAAACUCAAAGGAAUUGACGGGGGCCCGCACAAGCGGAGGAACAUGUGGUUUAA
rnacentral:rRNA from 1 species